rnacentral:rRNA from 1 species
GAUGAACGCUGGCGGCGUGCCUAAUACAUGCAAGUCGAGCGAACGGACGAGAAGCUUGCUUCUCUGAUGUUAGCGGCGGACGGGUGAGUAACACGUGGAUAACCUACCUAUAAGACUGGGAUAACUUCGGGAAACCGGAGCUAAUACCGGAUAAUAUUUUGAACCGCAUGGUUCAAAAGUGAAAGACGGUCUUGCUGUCUCUUAUAGAUGGAUCCGCGCUGCAUUAGCUAGUUGGUAAGGUAACGGCUUGCCAAGGCAACGAUGCAUAGCCGACCUGAGAGGGUGAUCGGCCACACUGGAACUGAGACACGGUCCAGACUCCUACGGGAGGCAGCAGUAGGGAAUCUUCCGCAAUGGGCGAAAGCCUGACGGAGCAACGCCGCGUGAGUGAUGAAGGUCUUCGGAUCGUAAAACUCUGUUAUUAGGGAAGAACAUAUGUGUAAGUAACUGUGCACAUCUUGACGGUACCUAAUCAGAAAGCCACGGCUAACUACGUG